rnacentral:rRNA from 1 species
AAGAACUACAAGGAUUCCCCUAGUAACGGCGAGUGAAGCGGGAAGAGCUCAAAUUUGUAAUCUGGCGGUCUCAGGCCGUCCGAGUUGUAGUCUAGAGAAGCGUUUUCCGUGCCGGACCGUGUACAAGUCCCUUGGAACGGGGCGUCGUAGAGGGUGAGAAUCCCGUCUUUGACACGGACCGCCGGUGCUCUGUGAUGCGCUCUCGAAGAGUCGAGUUGUUUGGGAAUGCAGCUCAAAACGGGUGGUAAAUUCCAUCUAAAGCUAAAUAYGGGCGAAAGACCGAUAGCGAACAAGUACCGUGAGGGAAAGAUGAAAAGCACUUUGGAAAGAGAGUUAAACAGUACGUGAAAUUGUUGAAAGGGAAACGCUUGAAGUCAGUCGCGUCUGGCGGGAGUCAGCCGGGUCGUCAGACCYGGUGUAUUUCCCGUCGCGACGGGCCAGCAUCGAUUUCGACCGUCGGAGAAGGGCUUUUGGGAAGGUGGCACCUCCGGGUGUGUUAUAGCCCUGGGUCGUAUACGACGGUGGGGAUCGAGGACCGCAGCGUGCCCCUCUCGGGGGGCCGGGGUUCGCCCACGUAACGCGCUUAGGAUGCUGGCGUAAUGGCUUUAAGCGACCCGUCUUGAAACACGGACCAAGGAGUCUAACAUGCCUGCGAGUGUUUGGGUGGYAAACCCGGACGCGUAAUGAAAGUGAAAGGUCGAGACCUCUGUCGUGGAGGGCACCGACGCCCGGACCGGAGCUUCUGUGACGGUUCCGAGGUAGAGCAUGUAUGUUGGGACCCGAAAGAUGGUGAACUAUGCCUGAGUAGGGUGAAGCCAGAGGAAACUCUGGUGGAGGCUCGUAGCGAUUCUGACGUGCAAAUCGAUCGUCGAACUUGGGUAUAGGGGCGAAAGACUAAUCGAACC